UAGAGUUUGAUCAUGGCUCAGAGUGAACGCUGGCGGCAUGCUUUACACAUGCAAGUCGAACGGCAGCGGGGGCUUCGGCCUGCCGGCGAGUGGCGAACGGGUGAGUAAUGCAUCGGAACGUGCCCAUGUCGUGGGGGAUAACGUAGCGAAAGCUACGCUAAUACCGCAUACGUCCUGAGGGAGAAAGCGGGGGAUCUUCGGACCUCGCGCGAUUGGAGCGGCCGAUGUCGGAUUAGCUAGUUGGUGGGGUAAAGGCCCACCAAGGCGACGAUCCGUAGCGGGUCUGAGAGGAUGAUCCGCCACACUGGGACUGAGACACGGCCCAGACUCCUACGGGAGGCAGCAGUGGGGAAUUUUGGACAAUGGGCGCAAGCCUGAUCCAGCCAUGCCGCGUGAGUGAAGAAGGCCUUCGGGUUGUAAAGCUCUUUCGGCCGGGAAGAAAUCGUGUUCUCUAACAUAGGACAUGGAUGACGGUACCGGACUAAGAAGCACCGGCUAACUACGUGCCAGCAGCCGCGGUAAUACGUAGGGUGCGAGCGUUAAUCGGAAUUACUGGGCGUAAAGCGUGCGCAGGCGGUUUGCUAAGACAGGUGUGAAAUCCCCGGGCUUAACCUGGGAACUGCGCUUGUGACUGGCAGGCUAAAGUACGGCAGAGGGGGUGGAAAUC
rnacentral:rRNA from 1 species